GAUGAACGCUGGCGGCGUGCCUAAUACAUGCAAGUCGAGCGAACAGAUGAGGAGCUUGCUCCUCUGACGUUAGCGGCGGACGGGUGAGUAACACGUGGAUAACCUACCUAUAAGACUGGGAUAACUUCGGGAAACCGGAGCUAAUACCGGAUAAUAUAUUGAACCGCAUGGUUCAAUAGUGAAAGACGGUUUUGCUGUCACUUAUAGAUGGAUCCGCGCCGCAUUAGCUAGUUGGUAAGGUAACGGCUUACCAAGGCCACGAUGCGUAGCCGACCUGAGAGGGUGAUCGGACACACUGGAACUGAGACACGGUCCAGACUCCUACGGGAGGCAGCAGUAGGGAAUCUUCCGCAAUGGGCGAAAGCCUGACGGAGCAACGCCGCGUGAGUGAUGAAGGUCUUCGGAUCGUAAAACUCUGUUAUUAGGGAAGAACAAAUGUGUAAGUAACUAUGCACGUCUUGACGGUACCUAAUCAGAAAGCCACGGCUAACUACGUG
rnacentral:rRNA from 1 species